AAUAUUGCGAAAUGGAGGGAACUCUGACGCAGCGACGCCGCGUGAGCGAUGAAGGUCAUAGGAACGUAAAGCUCUGUCCUUGGAGAAAAAGGGAGCCGUAAGUCUUCUUGACGGUACCCAUGGAGGAAGCCCCGGCUAACUACGUGCCAGCAGCCGCGGUAAUACGUAGGUGGCAAGCGUUGUCCGGAUUUAUUGGGCGUAAAGCGCGCGCAGGCGGUCCUUUAAGUCUGAUGUGAAAGCCCACGGCUCAACCGUGGAGGGUCAUUGGAAACUGGAGGACUUGAGUACAGAAGAGGAAAGCGGAAUUCCACGUGUAGCGGUGAAAUGCGUAGAGAUGUGGAGGAACACCAGUGGCGAAGGCGGCUUUCUGGUCUGUAACUGACGCUGAGGUGCGAAAGCGUGGGUAGCAAACA
rnacentral:rRNA from 1 species